AACAGAGCUACCAAAGAAAAUAAGGAGGACACAUCAGUUGACGCUUCUCAGGAAGACCAAGAGGAUCUGGGCCUGUGGGAGGAGAAAUUCGGAAAAUUUGUGGAUGUCAAAGUGAAUGGUCCUGCCUCCAUUGGUUUGGAUUUCUGCUUGCAUGGAUUUGAGCAUCUCUACGGGAUCCCACAACAUGCAGAAUCACACCAACUUAAAAAUACUAGUGAUGGUGAUGCAUACCGUCUUUAUAACUUGGAUGUAUAUGGAUAUAAAAUACAUGACAAAAUGGGCAUUUAUGGUUCAGUGCCUUAUCUCCUGGCCCACAAACCAGGCAGAACUCUAGGCAUUUUUUGGCUCAAUGCCUCCGAAACACUAGUGGAGAUCAAUACAGAGCCUGCA
rnacentral:lncRNA from 1 species